CAGAGUUCGACAAGUGGAUUCAAUCCAAGCAUUCAAUCAGGAUUUAUAUUUUUUCAUUUUUGCCACAUACAUUUGAAACUUGUUUAAUAAAGUGUAAAAAAGAAAACAGAAUGGAUUUGGGAAGGAGAAAAUCUGCAUGUUUCUUUAUUUUGGUUGCCUUUCAAUUGGCUUCCACCUCGAUGACCGUAUCAGCGGAAUCCAGCACCAGCAUGUCACCAACCACUGGUGCAUCAACAUCAGCCGUUGGUUCUACAACAACAGCUGAUGUUUCUACAACCACUGGAGGGUCAACAAACGCUGGAGGAUCAACAACCACUGGAGGACCAGCAACCCCCGGAGGUUCAUCCACAACUGCAGCACCAACAACCACUGGAGGAUCAACAACCACUGAAGGGUCAACAACCACAGAAGGGUCGACAGCUACAGGAGGAUCGACAGCCCCUGGAGGAUCCACAACAACCGGAGCAUCAUCAACAACGCAAGAAACUCCAGCUAUUACUACCAGUUCUCCAACAACUACUGCUGGAUUAUCAACUACCACAGGAGGUUCAACCAUCACAAUUGGAUCAACAAUUGGUGGAUCAACAACCAUAGGAGUAACAACAACCACUGGAGAAUCAACGACUGGAGAAUCAACAAUCACUGCAGGACCAACCAACUCUGGGGGUUCAACCAUCACUACUGGAUCAACAACUGGUGGAUCAACAACCACUGCAGGAUCCACAACAACCGGAACAUCAUCAACAACGCAAGAAACUCCAGCUAUUGCUACCAGUUCUCCAACAACUACUGCUGGAUUAUCAACUGCCACUGGAGGUUCAACCAUCACAAUUGGAUCAACAAUUGGUGGAUCAACAACCAUGGGAGUAACAACAACCACUGGAGAAUCAACGACUGGAGAAUCAACAAUCACUGGAGGACCAAUCACCACUGGAGGUUCAACCAUCACUACUGGAUCAACAACUGGUGGAUCAUCAACCACUGGAGGAUCCACAUCAACCGGAACAUCAUCAACAACGCAAGAAACUCCAGCUAUUGCUACCAGUACUCCAACAACUACUGCUGGAUUAUCAACUACCACUGGAGGUUCAACCAUCACAAUUGGAUCAACAAUUGGUGGAUCAACAACCAUGGGAGUAACAACAACCACUGGAGAAUCAACGACUGGAGAAUCAACAAUCACUGGAGAACCAAUCACCACUGGAGGUUCAACCAUCACUACUGGAUCAACAACUGGUGGAUCAACAACUGGAGGAUCCACAUCAACCGGAACAUCAUCAACAACGCAAGAAACUCCAGCUAUUACUACCAGUUCUCCAACAACUACUGCUGGAUUAUCAACUACCACAGGAGGUUCAACCAUCACAAUUGGAUCAACAAUUGGUGGAUCAACAACCAUGGGAGUAACAACAACCACUGGAGAAUCAACGACUGGAGAAUCAACAAUCACUGGAGGACCAAUCACCACUGGAGGUUCAACCAUCACAAUUGGAUCAACAAUUGGUGGAUCAACAACCAUGGGAGCAACAACAACCACUGGAGAAUCAACGACUGGAGAAUCAACAAUCACUGGAGCACCAACCACCACUGGAGGUUCAACCAUCACUACUGGAUCAACAACUGGUGGAUCAACAACUGGAGGAUCCACAACAACCGGAGCAUCUUUAACAACGCAAGAAACUCCAGCUAUUGCUACCAGAUCUCCAACAACUACUGCUGGAUUAUCAACUACCACUGGAGGUUCAACCAUCACGAUUGGAUCAACAAUUGGUGGAUCAACAACCAUAGGAGUAACAACAACCACUGGAGAAUCAACGACUGGAGAAUCAACAAUCACUGGAGGACCAACCACCACUGGAGGUUCUACCAUCAUUACUGGAUCAACAACUGGUGGAUCAACAACUGGAGGAUCCACAUCAACCGGACCAUCAUCAACAACGCAAGAAACUCCAACUAUUACAACAACUACCAGUUCUCCAACAACUACUGCUGGAUUAUCAACCACCACUGGAGGUUCAACCAUCACUACUGGAUUAACAAUUGGUGGAUCAACAACAAUAGGAGGAACAAUCACCACUGGAGGUUCAACCAUCACUACUGGAUCAACAACUGGUGGAUCAAUAACAACUGGAGGAUCCAUAACAACUGGAGCAUCAUCAUCAACCACACGAGAAACUCAGACUAUUACAACAACUACCAGUUCUCCAACCACUACUGCUGGAUUAUCAACUACCACUGGAGGAUCAACAACCACUCGAGGAUCCACAACGACUACAGGACCAACAACAACUGCAGAAUCAACAACCACUGGAGGAUCAACCAUCACUACUGGAUCAACAAUUGGUGGAUCAACAACCAUAGUAGGCAUUAUCACCACUGGAAGUUCAACCAUCACUACUGGAUCAACAACUGGUGGAUCAAUAACAACUGGAGGAUUCACAACAACUGGAGCAUCAUCAUCAACAACACAAGAAACUCCAACUAUUACAACAACUACCAGUUCUCCAACCACUACUGCUGGAUUAUCAACUACCACUGGAGGAUCAACAACCACUCGAGGAUCCACAACGACUGCAGGACCAACAGCAACUGCAGAAUCAACAACCACUGGAGGAUCAACAACCACUGGAGGAUCAACAACCACUGGAGGAUCAACAACCACUGGAGGGUCAGCAACCACUGGAGUAUCAACGACCACUGCAGUACCAACAACCACUGGAGGAUCAACCAUCACUACUGGAUCAACAAUUGGUGGAUCAACAACCAUAGUAGGCAUUAUCACCACUGGAAGUUCAACCAUCACUACUGGAUCAACAACUGGUGGAUCAAUAACAACUGGAGGAUUCACAACAACUGGAGCAUCAUCAUCAACAACACAAGAAACUCCAACUAUUACAACAACUACCAGUUCUCCAACAACUACUGCUGGAUUAUCAACUACCACUGGAGGAUCAACAACCACUCGAGGAUCCACAACGACUGCAGGACCAACAGCAACUGCAGAAUCAACAACCACUGGAGGAUCAACAACCACUGGAGGAUCAACAACCACUGGAGGAUCAACAACCACUGGAGGGUCAGCAACCACUGCAGUACCAACAACCACUGGAGGAUCAACAACCACUGAAGUACCAACAACAACUGGAGAAUCAACAACCACUGGAGGAUCAACAACCACUGGAGGAUCAACAACCACUGGAGGGUCAACAACCACUGCAGUACCAACAACCACUGGAGGAUCAACAACCACUGAAGUACCAACAACCACUGGAGAAUCAACAACCACUGGAGGGUCAACCAUCCCUACUGAAUCAAUAACUGGUGGAUCAACAACAACUGGAGCAUCAUCAUCAACAACACAAGAAACUCCAACUAUUACAACAACUACCAGUUCUCCGACCACUACUGCUGGAUUAUCAACUACCACUGGAGGAUCAACAACCACUCGAGGAUCCACAACGACUGCAGGACCAACAGCAACUGCAGAAUCAACAACCACUGGAGGAUCAACAACCACUGGAGGAUCAACAACCACUGGAGGGUCAGCAACCACUGCAGUACCAACAACCACUGGAGGAUCAACAACCACUGAAGUACCAACAACAACUGGAGAAUCAACAACCACUGGAGGAUCAACAACCACUGGAGGAUCAACAACCACUGGAGGGUCAGCAACCACUGCAGUACCAACAACCACUGGAGGAUCAACAACCACUGAAGUACCAACAACCACUGGAGAAUCAACAACCACUGGAGGGUCAACCAUCCCUACUGAAUCAAUAGCUGGUGGAUCAACAACAACUGGAGCAUCAUCAUCAACAACACAAGGUACAACAACUAGAAGUAUUCAAACAAAAUGUCAGCUAAAGGUGCCUGAAGUAAUAUUUAAAGGCUAAUAUAUGAGUGUAAUUGUUUAGACACGGCUUUGCCACCUGUCAGCUAUUAGUGAGUGAAAUAGGCUGUGAGAUUAUAAUUUCUGACCAAUUUGGGCAUCUCAGGAGCAGAAAUCUCACAAAAGACCCAUGAACCAGGGGAUAUUGUUUGAAGGGAG
ensembl:lncRNA